rnacentral:lncRNA from 1 species
CACCAAGCCUGACGACCUGAGUUAAAACUACAAACCAAUUAUUUCAUGGGAUCCCCACAUAUGAACUAGGGGCUGAAUUGUGUCCCAUCCCCCACCCACUGAUAACUUACACAUUGAAGUUCAGGUCCCCCUGGGAUCUCUGAAUAUAAUGUUACAUAGAUAGCAAUUGGGUCUUUACAGGGACAAUCAAAUCAAGACUCUGAUUAAAAGUGAGUUACAUUCCCAUAUGACUGGUGUCCCAAAGGAAGUGAAAUUUGGCUACACACACACACACACACACACACACACACAUAUGCACGCACGCACGCACGCACGCACGCACAUGGAUACCAUGUAGAUAUGGUAGCAGAAACCAGAACAAGAAACUCAUAAACUAAGCGGUCAUUUCAAGAAGAUGGCCAGCAAAGCACUAAUAUUGGGCGAGACCUAGGGGCAGACCCUUCCUCUUGGCCUGAGAAGGUGACAGCCCUGCCCUGCCACACAGGGCCACUGGCCUCUUAGCACCCUAAGCUUGUGUCCAAGCCAUCUGUUGGUAGUGAUUCAUUACAGCAGUGACAGUGAGCCAACCAUCUGGAGACCCUAAUCACAGCACUUGGAUUCACUUAAGGGGACCAUGGGAAGUUUCUACACUGUCCACACCCUUAUAAGUCCCUGCGGCAUUCAUAGUUCCUCCUCAGUCCCUCGAGGGCAGUAAAAGGACAGGCUCUGUGAAGCUGAAGUACAGCCCUGUAAAUUGGGCCAAAAAAGAAUGUUCUAGAAAGAGGGAAUCCAAAGCCCCCUCCUACCCCCUGGGCAGCAAGGGAGGGAGGCUGUGGGUGCUCAGGUGGUAUCUGGGACUCGUGGUUUGCAGACAUGGCCUGCUGCCUGCCAUGUUACUCUUUCAGGGCCUAGAGGAUACGCUGCAAUUGGCAUUCAAGCAAGCAAGGUGGGAUUAUUGCUUCCUUGAUGGCGAGGGUUAGGUUUCCUUCCUGUGACCAGCACCCCCGGCCUAGCCGCUCCCUCCCUGGAAAAAGCUACAGACACGUGUAUCCUGGCCAUCUGGGGCUGGGUUCCUGUCCCUCACCGUGCAGAAGGAGCUGUUUUUCAAGGCCUCACAACUACAAAUGCCUCAGACUGCAAGGACUCAUUUGCCACUUGUCACCAUCCCUCUGCUCCUGGACUUAGGGUAACAUUGGAAUGAGAAAUCCCUCCUCAGUCCCCUGCCUCCUCCCUGCCUAGCACAAAACUGGAUGUGUCUCCUUAGCAGGAGAGGAGUGCUGAGAAUAUGCCAGAGCUAAAAUGAAGAACUAAGGAGAGGACCUGCAGGUGACCAGUGCCUGUACACAGGUGUGAGGACAAAGGCCUGCAAGGGUGGAGAUUCCGACAGUCACUGUGGUGGAACUCCAUAGGCAUUAAACCUGUGGAUGGAACCAAGUAUAGAUCAGUUUCUGCGUACUGCCAGCUGCCUGCCAGGCACCGUAUUCCCUCGUGUGUCUUGUGGUAUGCAUGUGCCACUUCACAGAGCUUAUGUCCCAUCAUCUUCCCAUUCUUCCAACACAUCCUGAGUGAACAUUGCCUCCACCUCUCCGUUGUGUACAAGGAGACCUGAGACAAAAUAAGGCAUGCCAUAUCUGUGUUGUGUGCAAGGAGACCCGAGACAAAGUGAAGCAUGCUAUAUCUGGAAGUUCAUGUUUCUUAAGAAGUGGCCAUCCAGCCGGGCUUCAUGCAUGCUAGGCAAUUACUCUACCAACUAAGCUACAUCCGAGAACCAUAGUUCUAAUCAAUCUCUCUCUCUCUCUCCAGGGUUUCUCUGUGUAGCCCUGGCUGUCCUGGAACUCACUCUGUAGACCAGGCUGGCCUUGAACUCACUGAGAUCUGCCUGCCUCUACCUCCCAAAUGCUGGAUUAAAGGUGUGCACCACCACUACCCAGCCAGUCCUAAUCUCCUGAACAUGAGAUGACAUUACUCUGGAAUUUUCUGCCUGGAGACUGCCAGACCUAACCACUAAUGUAUAGGUGACAACACUAUCCAUGACUGGUUUUCCUUGGAGACACAAUGCCUUACAUUUUCCUUGCACUCCUUGUAGCAUAUAGCAUAUAAUAAGUGCUUUGGUUUGAUUUGAUGUAUGCUUUUAAAACU